rnacentral:rRNA from 1 species
AUGGCGGUUGUUCUUGAUGCUUUGGCAGCCCGUGUGAUAGAAAAGAUCACGAACAUCGGAGAAGAGAAGAUCCGCAUGCUGCUAGGCGUCUCCCAGGAGAUCAACAAGCUGCGAGGCAACGUGGAGCCCCUCCAAAACCUCCUCACCGAUGCCGAGAGGAGGCGCAUCACUGACAAGAACGUGCAGGCAUGGGUGACCAAGCUCAAGAGCGCCAUGUACGAGGCCGAUGACAUCCUUGAUCUCUGCCAGCUCGAGGCCAUGGAGCGAGAGGAGAAGGAGCACCCCAUCGGUGGGGGUGCCUCCCGCUGUUUAUCCCUCCGGGAGAAGCUGCCAUUUGUGGGGUGCCUCCAGCCGUUCCUGUUCUGCGUGAAGAACCCUGGAUUCGCCAAUGAGGUAGGCGGCCGCAUCAAGAAGCUAAAUGAUGAGCUGGCCACCAUCCGCAUGGGCGUCGCUGACUUCAACUUCAUUGAACUUGGCUCCUACGAGCAACGGAGGAGGCCGCCGGCCAGUUUGGCUUCCCACCCCAGGCGCGAGAAUGCACAGUUUGUCCAAUCAGAUCUUGUGGGGGAUCAGAUCAAGAAGAAUACAGAGGAACUGGAGCAUAGGCUCAUCGCCGACAGUCGCCACGAGCAUGGUAGCACCGUCAUCAAGGUGGUGGCCAUAGUUGGCCAGGGCGGUAUAGGGAAGAGCACCCUCGCCAAGAAGGUCUUCGCAAGUGAGGCCAUCAAGAAGGAGUUCAAAACAAAGAUCUGGCUGAGCGUCACUCAACAGUUCACCAAGGUGGAGCUACUAAGAACUGCCAUCUCCCAUGCCGGGGGGGUGCAUGGUGAUGAGAAGGACGAGACAAUCCUUGUGAACGCCCUCACCGACACCCUAUCAAAAAACAAGUUUCUGUUGGUCAUGGAUGAUGUGUGGAACCAAGAAGCAUGGGGCAAUGUGCUUCGAACCCCGGUUCUUAACGCCAAUGCUACACAACCAGGAAGCCGAGUCUUGGUUACCUCAAGAAAGGAUGAUGUUGUUAGGAGCAUGGGAGCUUCCAUCGUGCGUGUCAACAGGCUAAACGAUGAAGAUGCUUGGUGCUUGCUAAAGAAACAGCUGCCGCAGCCACAGGUCGGUGUUGGAAGUGAUUUUGAUGAGCUGAAAGAUAUUGGGAUGAAGAUUAUACAAAAAUGUGAUGGGUUACCACUUGCUAUUAAAGUUAUGGGUGGACUCUUAAGCACAAGAGAUCCUAAGGAACGCGACUGGGAAAUUGUUUUACAUAAGAAUCUUGGUUGGGAAGAAGAAGACGGGGAACAAGAGGAACUAAACUACUCAGUAAGCUUGAGCUACGAUGAUUUAUCUGUAGAGUUGAAGCAAUGCUUUCUGUACUACUCACUUUUGCCAAAGGAUUCGCGUUUUACAAGUCAAAGAAUUGCUAGCAUGUGGAUUUGUGAAGGGUUUGUUCAGCAUGAUGGGAGGUCAAAUUUAGAACAAGUCGAUCUAGAACAAAUAGGGGCUGAUUAUCAUCGGGAGUUGGUGGCUAGGAAUCUUUUGGAGCUCAAUUAUUCAAAUAAUAACAUAUGGCAGUACACCUUGCAUGAUGUUAUCCGCUCGUUUGCUCAAUUUAUGGCUAAAGAAGAAGCGUUCGUGGUUCACAAGGAUCAAGUUGACAUUAGAAAUCUUCUUCCAAAAAACAAUUCUAUUUGCCGUCUCUCGAUAAAAUCUACUCAUUCAGAACUAGAGUGGACCAUCCUAGAGAAGCAAGAAAGAUUGAGGACAUUAUUAUUGAUAGGCUGUAAGAUCAAACCUGGUGUCUCAUUGGAGAAUUUUGCUAGGCUACGGGUAUUGGAUAUAAGCUCCAAGGAAUCUGAUUGGUUAGUGGACUCUGUGUGUGAGCUAAGGCACCUAAGAUAUCUGUCAUUCUCCAAUACAAAUAUAUCUAGGCUUCCCGGUGACAUCCAUAAGAUGAGGUUCCUUCAACACAUUCAUCUCCAGAGCUGUACAAAGUUGGAAAAGCUCCCUGACAACAUCACAAAACUAGCGUGUUUAAGAUAUCUUAACUUACGUGGGUCCAAUGUAGAUGUUAUGCCAAGAGGGUUUGGUGGUCUAACAGAUUUGAGAUCCCUUCAUGGAUUUCCAGUGAAGAUGGAUGGGGACUGGUGCACUUUGGAAGAGUUGGAGGCUCUGUCACAUCUUAGAAAUCUUUCAGUCCAAGGUCUAGAGAAUGUGUCUAGUAGUUCAGUUGCAAAAAGGGCCAAGAUUAGCAACAAGAAGAGGCUGGAAUAUUUGGAUUUAAAGUGCUACAAGUACAACCAUUAUGAAGUGCGCCAAAUUGAGGUGGAGCAACAAGAGAUAAUAGAGGCUGUAUUUGAUGAGUUGUGCCCUUCACCUGCUAGAUUGGAGACACUAUUGAUACGAAGAUAUUUCGGUCGUCGACUACCAAAUUGGUUGCAGUCCCCAGUAGCAACAACCUUUAAAAGCUUGAAGGAUAUUACACUAGGGCACAUAACACACAGCACCCAACUACCCGAUGGUUUGUGCAGGAUACACGGUUUGGAAACACUACGUAUCUUGUAUGCUCCAGCCAUCGAGCAUGUCGGGCCUGACUUCCAGACCCAUGAUGGAGAUGGAGGUGCUGCAUUCCCAAAUCUGACAAGAUUGGAGCUGGGAGCCCUGUCCGAAUGGAAGGAGUGGGACUGGGAGGAGGAGGAGGAGCAGAGCAAAGUCAUAGCCAUGCCCGCUCUGGAGCAUCUCGUACUCAGGAACUGCAAGCUGACACACCUUCCUCCAGGACUUGCUAGUGACCGCAGGUACAAUCUGAGAACCAUGCGCCUACAGGAUCUCACGCUCCUAGAAUAUGUGGAGAACUUCCCUUCAGUUGUGGAGCUCAGAGCGUACGACUGCCCUGAGCUCAAGAGGAUGAGCGGCCUCUCCAAGCUGCGGACGGUCGACAUCUGCGAUUGCCCAAAGCUGGAGCUGCUGGAGGGCGUCCUGGCGCUGGACAGUAUGGAGUUGGAUUGCGAACACUGGGAGGUUACUGGACCAGAUGCCAGGUGCACCCCCAAGGCCAAGGGAUAUCAACAAGCUGAAGACGAACUGCCGCGUGAGCUCCCACAAGAUCUUGUUAUAACGAGGAUGAACUCGCUCAAGAGAUGA